rnacentral:rRNA from 1 species
AACGAACGCUGGCGGCAGGCCUAACACAUGCAAGUCGAGCGAACCCUUCGGGGUUAGCGGCGGACGGGUUAGUAACGCGUGGGAAUAUACCCUUUGGUACGGAAUAGCCUCGGGAAACUGAGAGUAAUACCGUAUGUGCCCUUCGGGGGAAAGAUUUAUCGCCAAAGGAUUAGCCCGCGUUGGAUUAGAUAGUUGGUGGGGUAAUGGCCUACCAAGUCUACGAUCCAUAGCUGGUUUGAGAGGAUGAUCAGCAACACUGGGACUGAGACACGGCCCAGACUCCUACGGGAGGCAGCAGUGGGGAAUCUUAGACAAUGGGCGCAAGCCUGAUCUAGCCAUGCCGCGUGGACGACGAAGGCCUUAGGGUUGUAAAGUCCUUUCAGAUGGGAAGAUAAUGACGGUACCAUCAGAAGAAGCCCCGGCUAACUCCGUGCCAGCAGCCGCGGUAAAGUCUGUACU